rnacentral:lncRNA from 1 species
AAGUACUGUGCAGGCUGGGCUGACAAGAUCCAUGGUCAAACAAUACCGAGUGAUGGAGACAUUUUCACUUUUACGAGACGUGAACCUAUUGGGGUGUGUGGCCAAAUCAUCCCUGUAAGUUUUCCUUCCUGACUCCCAAUGAGGGAAAGAAAGGUCGAAUUCCAUUAAUCCAGGGAGGAAGCCCAUUUUCAUACAAGUGAAGCUCAUGCAAUGGUUAUGUGUGAGGUAAAUUCAACAAGCAUGACUGCCUGCAGCUUAUCGUCCUGUAACUGAGCUUCUUAUAUAGGAGUUAGCUCCUUCAGAGACCUUGGAUAGAUGGCUGUGCCCUUGGAGGGCAUUUCAGUGUUAUCACAUGAGCCCCAAGUGUUGACUGCAUGAAUGGCUUUGGAAAUUGUGCUAUGUUCCGGUUUCGUGAGCU